rnacentral:rRNA from 1 species
GACGAGCGCUGGCGGCGUGCCUAAUACAUGCAAGUCGAGCGGACUUUCAAGAAGCUUGCUUUUUGAAAGUUAGCGGCGGACGGGUGAGUAACACGUGGGCAACCUGCCUGUAAGACGGGGAUAACUCCGGGAAACCGGGGCUAAUACCGGAUAAUAUCUUUCUUCGCAUGAAGGAAGGUUGAAAGGCGGCGCAAGCUGCCGCUUGCAGAUGGGCCCGCGGCGCAUUAGCUAGUUGGUGAGGUAACGGCUCACCAAGGCGACGAUGCGUAGCCGACCUGGGAGGGUGAGCGGCCACACUGGGACUGAGACACGGCCCAGACUCCUACGGGAGGCAGCAGUAGGGAAUCUUCCGCAAUGGACGAAAGUCUGACGGAGCAACGCCGCGUGAGCGAAGAAGGUCUUCGGAUCGUAAAGCUCUGUUGUCAGGGAAGAACAAGUACCGUUCGAAUAGGGCGGUACCUUGACGGUACCUGACCAGAAAGCCACGGCUAACUACGUGCCAGCCGCCGCCGUAA